GGGCAAGGAGGACCAUGUGGCCUGGCGGGAUCCCCGGAGGUUAUCUACUUUAGUUUCAUCAUUGUGGACUCCACUUUGACUUGUCCGUGGGUAAGGAGCGUCAUGUAGCUUGGUAGGGUCAAGCAUCAACUCAGGUGUUUUUGGAUCUUUACAUUUGUGAGACCUCCAAAUUUUAGGAGCCCUGAAGAACUUUUGUGCUUUCAUAGACAUUG
rnacentral:lncRNA from 1 species